rnacentral:misc_RNA from 1 species
GGAUGAAGAACGCAGCGAAAUGCGAUAAGUAAUGUGAAUUGCAGAAUUCAGUGAAUCAUCGAAUCUUUGAACGCACAUUGCGCCCAUUAGUAUUCUAGUGGGCAUGCCUGUUCGAGCGUCAUUAAUUCCACUUAAGCCUAGCUUAGUGUUGGGAGACUGCUCCAGUGGUGCUACCCUGUAGCUACCCUGCAGCUCCUUAAAGACAGCGGCGGAGUCGUGUUAUCCUCUGAGCUUAGUAAUUAUUCUAGCUUUCGAGUACAUCACUUCCCUUGCCGUUAAACCACCAAUUUUCAAUGGUUGACCUCGGAUCAGGUAGGAAUACCCGCUGAACUUAAGCAUAUCAAUAAGCGGAGGA